rnacentral:rRNA from 1 species
GACGAACGCUGGCGGCGUGCUUAACACAUGCAAGUCGAACGGAAAGGCCCCUUUGGGGGUACUCGAGUGGCGAACGGGUGAGUAACACGUGAGUAACCUGCCCUUGACUUCGGGAUAACUUCAGGAAACUGGGGCUAAUACCGGAUAGGAAUCCUUGCUGCAUGGUGGGGGUUGGAAAGCUUCGGCGGUUUUGGAUGGACUCGCGGCUUAUCAGCUUGUUGGUGGGGUAGUGGCUUACCAAGGCUUUGACGGGUAGCCGGCCUGAGAGGGCGACCGGCCACAUUGGGACUGAGAUACGGCCCAGACUCCUACGGGAGGCAGCAGUGGGGAAUAUUGCACAAUGGGCGGAAGCCUGAUGCAGCAACGCCGCGUGCGGGAUGACGGCCUUCGGGUUGUAAACCGCUUUCAGCAGGGGCGAAGCUUGUGGUGACGGUACCUGCAGAAGAAACACCGGCUAACUACGUG